rnacentral:rRNA from 1 species
GCAGAGCACUCCGUACGGGAGGCAGCAGUGGGGAAUAUUGCACAAUGGGCGCAAGCCUGAUGCAGCCAUGCCGCGUGUAUGAAGAAGGCCUUCGGGUUGUAAAGUACUUCAGCAGUGAGGAAGGUGGAUAUGUUAAUAGCAUAUUCAUUUGACGUUAGCUGCAGAAGAAGCACCGGCUAACUCCGUGCCAGCAGCCGCGGUAAUACGGAGGGUGCGAGCGUUAAUCGGAAUUACUGGGCGUAAAGCGCAUGCAGGUGGUUUGUUAAGUCAGAUGUGAAAGCCCGGGGCUCAACCUCGGAAUUGCAUUUGAAACUGGCAAACUAGAGUACUGUAGAGGGGGUAGAAUUUCAGGUGUAGCGGUGAAAUGCGUAGAGAUCUGAAGGAAUACCGGUGGCGAAGGCGGCCCCCUGGACAGAUACUGACACUCAGAUGCGAAAGCGUGGGGAGCAAACAGGAUUAGAUACCCUGGUAG